rnacentral:rRNA from 1 species
UAUUUUUAGGUGAAAUUUGAAUAUUAAUUAAUUUUUUUAUGGUUCUUUUAAAUUCUUACAGUUAAACUAGGAUUAGAUACCCUAUUAUUUUNAAUGUUAAUUAUUAUCAGGGUAUUAAUAGUUAUAUUCUUUAAACCCAAAGAAUUUGGCGGUGUUUUAGUCUAAUUAGAGGAAUCUGCCCCGUAAUCGAUAAUCCUCGUUUUAUCUUUCUUGAUUUUGUGUUCAUUAAGUAUACCGCCGUUAUAGGUUUAUUUUUU